rnacentral:tRNA from 1 species
GGGAGAAUAUUCCGUAGAGGUAGCGGUGCAGACUGUAAAUCUGUUGCUUUCGGGCUCGGGUGGUUCGACUCCAUCUUCUCCCA